AGAGUUUGAUCCUGGCUCAGAUUGAACGCUGGCGGCAUGCCUUACACAUGCAAGUCGAACGGCAGCACGGGAGCUUGCUCCUGGUGGCGAGUGGCGAACGGGUGAGUAACAUAUCGGAACAUGCCCUGAAGUGGGGGAUAACGUAGCGAAAGUUACGCUAAUACCGCAUAUUCUGUGAGCAGGAAAGCAGGGGGAUCGCAAGACCUUGCGCUUUAGGAGUGGCCGAUAUCGGAUUAGCUAGUUGGUGAGGUAAAGGCUCACCAAGGCGACGAUCCGUAGCGGGUCUGAGAGGAUGAUCCGCCACACUGGGACUGAGACACGGCCCAGACUCCUACGGGAGGCAGCAGUGGGGAAUUUUGGACAAUGGGCGCAAGCCUGAUCCAGCCAUGCCGCGUGAGUGAAGAAGGCCUUCGGGUUGUAAAGCUCUUUCGGUGGGGAAGAAAUUGCUUCGGUUAAUACCUGGAGUAGAUGACGGUACCCGCAUAAGAAGCACCGGCUAACUACGUGCCAGCAGCCGCGGUAAUACGUAGGGUGCGAGCGUUAAUCGGAAUUACUGGGCGUAAAGCGUGCGCAGGCGGUUGUAUAAGUCAGAUGUGAAAUCCCCGGGCUCAACCUGGGAACUGCAUUUGAGACUGUACGGUAGAGUUUGGCAGAGGGGGGUGGAAUUCCACGUGUAAGCAGUGAAAUGCGUA
rnacentral:rRNA from 1 species